rnacentral:lncRNA from 1 species
AAAAACCUGAACGAUGACGAGGCAGCCUCUGGCUGAAACAGAUUAUCGCCUUAUCCAAGUGGCCGAUCAGAGGACCAUUGAUUCGCCCCCGUGGAGAAAUUUCAUUCGGCUGUUUAGCUUAUUGCAGAUUCCCGGUCGGAAUAUUAUCGCUUUUCUACGAGAUAAAUGGCAUAAAAAUUGGUUUUAAACAGCGGUUGACAUGCUUCGAAGUACGGUAAUGGAAUAUUUAGACAUUUUUUGUCACGCCAUGCGCCAUGCGCACGACCGUUAUUUACCAUUCGUAUAGUGUCUAGAACGCACGAACAAAACAGAGGAUAUUUGGAUAUAACGAUGGAUUAUUUGGGACCAAACCUACAUUUGUUAUUGAAGUAGAAGUCCUGGGAGUGCAUUCUGACGAAGAACAGGAAAGGUUUAAAGACAUCCCACCCUGACGCCCUGCAGAUGUAAAGAAAUUGUUGUGAAUCUCCUAGCCACCAGGAUAAUCACCAUAUCCCAGGAUAUUAUUCACGAUUGUGCAACAUCACAAUGUUAGAUAAACAUAGAUAUUCACCACUGUUAUUAUUUAUCAUGUAGAUUAGUCAGGACUUUGUAACUUAUGAAACUCAUUUUAAAAUACAGACGUGAUUUCUAUCCCCGGGGAAUGCACUGUGUAUAAGUCUUCAAUUUAGCCCACAAUUAGUUGAAUUAGGUGGAAGUGAAGGGCUGGAACAAAAACCUGUAAAACAACCUGUGGCUGUCCUGAAUAAAUUU